AAAAGUAUAGCUUAGUGGUAGAGUGCAUGCUAACAUGCAGAAGGUCCUGGGUUCAAUCCCCAGUACCUCCA
rnacentral:tRNA from 1 species